CGAGUGAGGGCCCUCUGGGUCCAACCUCCCACCCGUGUUUAUCGUACCUUGUUGCUUCGGCGGGCCCGCCUUUAUGGCCGCCGGGGGGCAUCUGCCCCCGGGCCCGCGCCCGCCGAAGACACCCACGAACUCUGUCUGAAGAUUGUAGUCUGAGUGGAAUUAUAAAUUAUUUAAAACUUUCAACAACGGAUCUCUUGGUUCCGGCAUCGAUGAAGAACGCAGCGAAAUGCGAUACGUAAUGUGAAUUGCAGAAUUCAGUGAAUCAUCGAGUCUUUGAACGCACAUUGCGCCCUCUGGUAUUCCGGAGGGCAUGCCUGUCCGAGCGUCAUUGCUGCCCUCAAGCACGGCUUGUGUGUUGGGCCCCGUCCUCCGCUCCCGGGGGACGGGCCCGAAAGGCAGCGGCGGCACCGCGUCCGGUCCUCGAGCGUAUGGGGCUUUGUCACCCGCUCUGUAGGCCCGGCCGGCGCUUGCCGAAUCAACCAAACUUUUUUCCAGGUUGACCUCGGAUCAGGUAGGGAUACCCGCUGAACUUAAGCAUAUCAAUAAGCGGAGGAAAAGAAACCAACAGGGAUUGCCCCAGUAACGGCGAGUGAAGCGGCAAGAGCUCAAAUUUGAAAGCUGGCUCCUUCGGGGUCCGCAUUGUAAUUUGCAGAGGAUGCUUCGGGAGCGGUCCCCAUCUAAGUGCC
rnacentral:rRNA from 1 species